AUUGAACGCUGGCGGCAGGCCUAACACAUGCAAGUCGAGCGAGCGGCGGACGGGCAAGUAAUGCCUAGGAAUCAGCCUGGUUGUGGGGGAUAACGACCGGCAACGGGCGCUAAUACCGCAAACUAUCCGAUAAGCCUAGGUCGGAUUAGCUAGUAGGUGGGGUAAAGGCUCACCUAGGCGACGAUCCCUAGCUGGUCUGAGAGGAUGACCAGCCACACUGGAACUGAGACACGGUCCAGACUCCUACGGGAGGCAGCAGUGGGGAAUAUUGCACAAUGGGCGCAAGCCGGAUGCAGCCAUGCCGCGUGUAUGAAGAAGGCCUUCGGGUUGUAAAGUACUUUCAGCGGGGAGGCGUUACCCGCAGAAGAAGCACCGGCUAACUCCGUGCCAGCCGCCGCGGUAAUUC
rnacentral:rRNA from 1 species